rnacentral:lncRNA from 1 species
GGUGAAACCCCGUCUUUACUAAAAAUACAAAAAAUUAGCCGGGCGUGGUGGCGGGCGCCCGUAAUCCCAGCUACUCGGGAGGCUGAGGCAGGAGAAUGGCAUGAACCCAGGAGGCAGAGGUUGCAGUGAGCCAAGAUUGUGCCACUGCACUCCAGCCUGGGCAAAAGAGUGAGACUCCGUCUCAAAAAAAAAAACAAAAACCA